AGGACGAACGCUGGCGGCGUGCUUAACACAUGCAAGUCGAGCGGUAAGGCCUUUCGGGGUACACGAGCGGCGAACGGGUGAGUAACACGUGGGUGAUCUGCCCUGCACUUCGGGAUAAGCCUGGGAAACUGGGUCUAAUACCGGAUAUGACCUCCUAUCGCAUGGUGGGUGGUGGAAAGAUUUAUCGGUGCAGGAUGGGCCCGCGGCCUAUCAGCUUGGUUGGUGGGUAAUGGCCUACCAAGGCGACGACGGGUAGCCGACCUGAGAGGGUGACCGGCCACACUGGGACUGGAGACACGGCCCAGACUCCGUACGGGAGGCAGCGGUGGGGAAUAUUGCACAAGUGGGCGAAAGCCUGAUGCAGCGACGCCGCGUGAGGGAUGACGGCCUUCGGGUUGUAAACCUCUUUCGAGCGAGGACGAGCGACGAAGUGACGGUACCUGACGAAGAAGAAGCACCGCUAACUACGU
rnacentral:rRNA from 1 species